UACGAAGGGGGCUAGCGUUGCUCGGAAUCACUGGGCGUAAAGCGCACGUAGGCGGAUCGUUAAGUCAGGGGUGAAAUCCUGGAGCUCAACUCCAGAACUGCCCUUGAUACUGGCGAUCUCGAGUUCGAGAGAGGUUGGUGGAACUCCGAGUGUAGAGGUGAAAUUCGUAGAUAUUCGGAAGAACACCAGUGGCGAAGGCGGCCAACUGGCUCGAUACUGACGCUGAGGUGCGAAAGCGUGGGGAGCAAACAGGAUUAGAAACCCUAGUAGU
rnacentral:rRNA from 1 species